rnacentral:rRNA from 1 species
AGAGUUUGAUCCUGGCUCAGGACGAACGCUGGCGGCGUGCCUAAUACAUGCAAGUCGAGCGAAUCAAUAGGAGCUUGCUCCUGUUGGUUAGCGGCGGACGGGUGAGUAACACGUGGGCAACCUGCCUGUAAGACUGGGAUAACACCGGGAAACCGGUGCUAAUACCGGAUAAUCCUUUUCCUCUCAUGAGGAAAAGCUGAAAGUCGGUUUCGGCUGACACUUACAGAUGGGCCCGCGGCGCAUUAGCUAGUUGGUGAGGUAACGGCUCACCAAGGCGACGAUGCGUAGCCGACCUGAGAGGGUGAUCGGCCACACUGGGACUGAGACACGGCCCAGACUCCUACGGGAGGCAGCAGUAGGGAAUCUUCCACAAUGGACGAAAGUCUGAUGGAGCAACGCCGCGUGAGCGAUGAAGGCCUUCGGGUCGUAAAGCUCUGUUGUUAGGGAAGAACAAGUACCGGAGUAACUGCCGGUACCUUGACGGUACCUAACCAGAAAGCCACGGCUAACUACGUGCCAGCAGCCGCGGUAAU